rnacentral:rRNA from 1 species
GUCUUUUUGAUUAUAAUUUAAAGUUUAAUCUGCCCACUGAAAAUUUAAAUGGCCGCAGUAUUUUGACUGUGCAAAGGUAGCAUAAUAAUUAGUUUUUUAAUUGAAAGCUAGAAUGAAUGAUUGGACGAGAAUGUAACUGUCUUAAAUUAAUUAUAUUAGAAUUUAAUUUUUAAGUAAAAAAGCUUAAAUGUAAUUUAAAGACGAGAAGACCCUAUAGAGUUUAAUAUUUUAAUAAAAUUUAAUUUAUAGAAAUAAUUUUUAAUUUUUAUAUUAAUAUUUAGUUGGGGUGAUUUAAAAAUUUAUUUAACUUUUUUAUAAUUUGAACAAAUUUAUUUGGGUAUGUGAUCCUAUAAUUAGAUUAAUAGAAUAAAUUACCUUAGGGAUAACAGCGUAAUUUUUUUAGAAAGUUCUUAUUGAAAAAAAAGAUUGCGACCUCGAUGUUGGAUUAAGAAUAAAUUUUAAUGUAGAAGUUAAAAUAUUAAGUCUGUUCGACUUUUUAUAUCUUACA